rnacentral:lncRNA from 10 species
CUUCUGGGAAGGCAUUAGGCCUGGUUAGAUGCUGGUUGCCAUGGAGCCCAGGGCCAGAGGCAGUUUCUGGUCGUGCCUAGGAGCUGUGCAACGCCAGCCCUUGAGGAGGAAGCCAUCUGUUUCUGGAAUCACCCUCCCCGCCACGUAUAUGAGACAUAUCCUUGAUUGUCCGUGAAAUCAGGUGGUCCAGGGCCAGGUUGGUCCAUAGAGGGAGCAACAGGAAGACAGCCAUCUGCAAACCAGCAAGCUGACUUUCAGCAGAUGCUGCUUCUCCUGGCACCUUGAUCUUGGACUUCCUGGCCUCUAGAACUAUGAGAAAGAAAUGUUUAAGAUUUCCAGUCUGCAAACCAGCAAAUGGGCCCUCACCAGACACUGCCUGUCCUGGCACCUUGAUCUUGGACUUCUCAGCCUCCAGAAAUGUGAGAAAGAAAUGUUUUAAGUUUCCCAGUCUAUGAGAAUUUGUUAGAACAGAACAAACUGACUAAGACACUCACUAACAUGGUAUAUUACCAAUCUCUUAAAUUUUGCCAGUCUGAUAGGUGAAGUUACUCAUCUUUAUACAGCCAUUUCUUCUUCUGUGAGUCUCCUGUUCAUGUUUCAUGCGCAUUUUAAACAUCAAGUUGCUUUGCAUUUUUAUUGAUUUAUAGAAGGUCUUUAUGUAUUCUGGAAAGUAAUCCUGUAUUUUUCAUGCUUACUGCUACUCAUCCUAAUACUUUUGAGUGGAUUGGUUGGACCCUCAUUGGAUGCAGCAAGGGACAGGAAGGCAACUCAGGCAGCAAUCCAUGGCAGGCUGACCAAUAGCCAGUCACACAGGCAGAUUCACCAAGUCAGCAGAAGAAUUAGCUUUCCCUCCUUCUAGGCUUGGGAUUCUCUAACAGCAGAGAUGGCACUAAACAGGAGAUGUGGGCAAUAUUUGGUCUGUUUACCCUGUGACUACAUCAUUGGCAGAUAGAUACAACAGACCUGCAGUCCCCAAGAAUGUUUUGAAUUUUUUUUUUUUUUGAGACAGGGUCCUGCUCUGUUGCCCAGGCUGGAGUGCAGUGGUAUGAUCACGGCUCAUGCAGCCUCGACCUCCCAGGCCCAAGCAAUCCUCCCACCUCAGCCUCCUGGGUAGCUGGGACUGCAGGUGUGCACCACCACACCUGGCUAAGUUUCGUAUUUUUUUUUUUUGAG